rnacentral:rRNA from 1 species
CUACGUGCCAGCAGCCGCGGUAAUACGGAAGGUCCGGGCGUUAUCCGGAUUUAUUGGGUUUAAAGGGAGCGUAGGCCGCGCCUUAAGCGUGUUGUGAAAUCCGGGUGCUCAACAUCCGGCUUGCAGCGCGAACUGGGGCGCUUGAGUGCGCAGAAAGUAGGCGGAAUUCGUGGUGUAGCGGUGAAAUGCUUAGAUAUCACGAGGAACUCCGAUUGCGAAGGCAGCCUACUGUAGCGCUACUGACGCUGAUGCUCGAAAGCGUGGGUAUCGAACAGGAUUAGAUACCCUGGUAGUCCACGCGGUAAACGAUGGAUGCUCGUUGUCGGCCCUUUGGGCCGGUGACCAAGCGAAAGCGUUAAGCAUCCCACCUGGGGAGUACGCCGGCAACGGUGAAACUCAAAGGAAUUGACGGGGGCCCGCACAAGCGGAGGAACAUGUGGUUUAAUUCGAUGAUACGCGAGGAACCUUACCCGGGCUUG